rnacentral:rRNA from 1 species
UACGUAGGGGGCUAGCGUUGUCCGGAAUCAUUGGGCGUAAAGCGCGUGUAGGCGGCCCGAUAAGUCCGCUGUGAAAGUCCAGGGCUCAACCCUGGGAUGCCGGUGGAUACUGUCGGGCUCGAGUCCGGAAGAGGCGAGUGGAAUUCCUGGUGUAGCGGUGAAAUGCGCAGAUAUCAGGAGGAACAUCAAUGGCGAAGGCAGCUCGCUGGGACGUGACUGACGCUGAGACGCGAAAGCGUGGGGAGCAAACAGG